UGGGGAAUAUUGGACAAUGGGGGCAACCGUGAUCCAGCCAUACCGCGUGUGUGAAUAAGGCCUUUUGGUUGUAAAGCACUUUAAGCAGUGAAGAAGACCUAACGGUUAAUACCCGUUAGCGAUGACAUUAGCUGCAGAAUAAGCACCGGCUAACUCUGUGCCAGCAGCCGCGGUAAUACAGAGGGUGCAAGCGUUAAUCGGAAUUACUGGGCGUAAAGCGAGCGUAGGUGGCUUGAUAAGUCAGAUGUGAAAUCCCCGGGCUUAACCUGGGAACUGCAUCUGAUACUGUUAGGCUAGAAUAGGUGAGAGGAAGGUAGAAUUCCAGGUGUAGCGGUGAAAUGCGUAGAGAUUUGGAGGAAUACCGAUGGCGAAGGCAGCCUUCUGGCAUCAUAUUGACACUGAGGUUCGAAAGCGUGGGUAGCAAACAGGAUUAGAUACCCUGGUAGUCCACGCCGUAAACGAUGUCUACUAGUCGUUGGGUCCCUUGAGGACUUAGUGACGCAGCUAACGCAAUAAGUAGACCGCCUGGGGAGUACGGCCGCAAGGUUA
rnacentral:rRNA from 1 species